UGUGGCUAAAUUAGCAAAGCACCUCCCUUACACCGAGGAGAUAUCCGUGCAACCCGGAUCAUUUUGAACCUCAA
rnacentral:tRNA from 1 species